GAUGAACGCUGGCGGCGUGCUUAACACAUGCAAGUAGAACGGAAAGGCCGAAGCUUGCUCCGGUCCUCGAGUGGCGAACGGGUGAGUUACACGUGGGUGAACUGCCCUGUACUUCGGGAUAAGCUAUGGAAACUGGUACUAAUACCGGCUAUACCGUAGUCAUGGCUGGGGUUGUGGAAAGCUUUUGCGGUUGUGGAUUAGCGCGCGGCAGAUCAGCUUGUUGGUGGGGUAAUGGCUUACCCAGGCGUCGACGGGUAGCCGGCCUCUGAGAGUGUACGGCCGCACUGACACUGAGAGACGGCCCAGGCUGCUACGGGACGGAGCUAGGCGGAAUACUGCACAAGGGGCGCAGGCCUGGUGCAGCAAGGCCUCGGGUGGGAUGACGGUCUUCUGGUUGUAAACUCCUUUCGCGAUCGAAGAAGCCAUUUGGUGACGGUAGGUUGAGAAGAAGCACCGGCUAACUACGUG
rnacentral:rRNA from 1 species